CUUCUUACCAAGUUUUAGGCACGAUUUCAUGGGAAUGUGAUAUAGGAAAUGCCGAGGCGUACGACCCGAUCCAACAUAAUAAUAAAACUGUGCACUGCCGAGGGUCGAACGACCCGAACCAUAUGAUAAAUCACUUAACCUGUCGAGGCGAACGGCCCGCUCCCAUGAGAGUGUGGCACAUAAAUCCUGCCGAGGCGAACGGCCCAAUCCCGUAAGAAGUGAAAUACAUAAUCCUGCCGAGGCGAACGGCCAUAUCCCAUUAGAAUAAGAAGCUUUGAUGGGUCAUUGACCCCACUAACGAAUAAACGUGUGAGUGGUAAUUUUAUUUAAUAAAAACCUUUUGAUGAAACACACACACACACACACACACACACACACACAUAUAUAUUUCAGGGCUAAAAUUAUAAUUUCGGAGGCAGCUUCCUUCCGAGGAAAACUCGGGUCAUCCAAAAACCCGAUCGGGACAUACGCCGAAGUCCAAAAUCAUCAUACGAACCUGUUGGAACCUUCAAAUCCCGAUUCCGAGAUCGUUUACUCAAAAAUCAAACCUUAGUCAAUUCUUUCAACUUAAAGCUUCCGAAAUUAGAAUUUUCUUCCCAAACUAACUCUGAACUUCCCAAAAUUCAAUUCCGACCAUACGUGCAAGUCAUAAUACCUGAAGUGAAACUACUCAAGGCCUAAAACCGCCGAACGAUGAGCUACAUCUCAAAAUGACCGAUCGGGUCGUUACACUUUACAUGUUUAUUUUUCUAAAAUACUUUGAUAUGAAUUGUUUUUAUUUUGGUUGUAUGACUUAGAAUGUCCAAUUUUAUAUCAGAGAAUGCAAUAAUUAAAAUAACCUGCGAUCACGCCCAACUAUGACUUAUAAAAAGGACUAAGCGAUCGUUGUAAAUAUAAUCGGUUUACAAGUCCAGAGUCGAAUCUCAUAGGGAAUUAACGUAUUAAUCAUAACUGCUAGUUUCAUUAUAAUUCAAGUAAUCAACUUCCAAAAAUAUUGAAUAAUGAGUGGAGUGUUUACCAACCAACAACAAGAUAAUUAAAAAGCUGUAAUUUUAUUACUAACUAAGCAAAUGUUGUAGACAAGAUUGGAAAAGCCUAGGGUUAUGAUUUUCCCUCUUAUCGGAAUCCUCUCUUCUACGUCUCCUAUAAAUUUUCCUAGAUACUCUCUACCGAUCAUGAACACUUUAGGUGUCGUAAUUCUCUUCCGAGCAAAUGCAAUAAUUUGCGCGUGUUUUCUAUAUCAAUAAAUAUACCGUUUUAAAGAAUUAAAAUAAGUAGCAUUAAUCAAAGUGUUUGAGAUACAAAAAAAGUGAGUUCCUAAACUUGAUAGAAUGUUAAUUUUACUUUAAGUAGUUCAAUAAAAGAAGAAAUUAUGCAUCAUAGAAGUCCUUAGAAUUAUGUGGAAUAUCUUGUAAAAAUUAUUAUUAUUUUGUAUCUAAUAUAAAAAACAAAAAAGUAACACAAAACUUACUUACCACAAACGAUCAAAGAUUUGGCAAAUAGCACGAAUUUAAAAUAUAAUCUCUUGGUCUUUUUGAGAUUCAGCAAUGAUUGAAAAUCAAUAGCUCUUAGAAAAAAGGUACGUGUGAAUAAAGACUAAGAAUAAUUAAUAUUAAAUUAAUAUUUUGCAACAAACAACUAAAUAUAUUAAAAAGAUAUAGGGAGUUCAAUUUGUAAGAAUAUUUACAAAAUAACAAUAAUAAUAAAUGACAAAUCAUAUAGAAUAUAAACUUUUAAAAAAUACCAAAAUUCUCUCGGCGUACAUUAGCGUUCUUGCUAACAUGCACUGAAAACCCAAUUCCAUGGCAAAGCGAGGUCGGGGAAGACCUCGGAAUCAACCGGAAAGCUACGCGAGAAAUCACCAUGGGCAAACAAACCAAGGGAAAGGCGAUUAACAAUACUUCGUGUAACCAAACGAUAGGUGCGGCAGCAAGUUUGGGGGUUCCGACAAACAUUAGUCCCAUAACUCAUCUUACACAGUCGGCGACUUCUGGACCUCAAACGGCAGGGAAACGGAACAAACCAGAAGGGAAGACAAACACUGGUACUCAAUACGAUAUGGCUGGGACAUCUGAAACUCCAUUUUCGUCAAUGAAACCUACUGAGGAAGUGGUGAAGGAUAAUGACCCAACACCUAUGAAAUUGGUGCAGAUUCCAAAAUUAGCAGUCAGCCCAGUGCAACAAACUCCAAACUCACAGGAAUCUAUGCCAAACCAACAGGAACCAGACCCGAUUCCACAGGAAAACGCGGAAGAGAACGACCAGUCGCAAAAUUGGGCUGGAUUGUUCCCUCGAAAUCGAGUAGCUGCUAAUGGUAUGGCUUUAAAUUUUAUCCCUCCUCAGGUGAUUAAUGUAAAACCUACAAUUGUGUUGGAGGAAAAGGAAAUUAAAGAGCAAACAGAGAUGUGGAAUAAUACACUAGUGAUCUAUACCAUGGGUGAGUUACCUACCUAUACAGUUAUGAGUAACUAUAUAUCUAAGAAUUGGAAUGAAAUGAGCACAUCAGAAUUAUAUAUACAUGAUGAGAGAUUCUAUAUUGCUGAAUUCUUAGAUAUUCAUGAUAGAAAUAAGAUCAUAUAUUCAGGCCCAUAUACUUUGCGCAAUAGACCAUUAAUUCUUAAAUUGGACCCCUACAUUUGAUUUCCAACAGGAAUUUCCUCGUACAAUGCCUAUUUGGGCUAGAUUGCCCAACCUGCCUUUGAACUGCUGGGGAGCUAAGACCUUGAGCAAAAUUGCAAGUGUAUUAGGGAAAUCUAUUUUUGCGGAUGAAUGUACCCGGAAGCAGGUUCACAUAUCUUAUGCUAGGGUCCUAGUUGACAUGGAUAUCACUCAACCCAUGCCAGAGGUGUUGGACAUCACAGAUCCAACAGGCAGAGUGUUUUCUCAGAACAUUGAGUACGAUUGGAAGCCUCCGUUCUGCAAAAAAAUGUGUGAAAUUUGGUCAUGUCUGCCUUGAGGAACCAAAGAGGGUCAAUACUCAACAGCAAGGG
rnacentral:lncRNA from 1 species